rnacentral:piRNA from 1 species
UAAACUGCACGGAAAUUAUUGAGGCUCCGG